AGAGUUUGAUCAUGGCUCAGAUUGAACGCUGGCGGCAGGCCUAACACAUGCAAGUCGAGCGGUAACAGAUCUAGCUUGCUAGAUGCUGACGAGCGGCGGACGGGUGAGUGACGCGUAGGAAUUUGCCUAGUAGUGGGGGGUAACUAUUGGAAACGAUAGCUAAUACCGCAUAACGUCUUCGGACCAAAGGGUGCUUUCGGGCUCUCGCGCAAAGAAACCUAAGCGAGAUUAGCUUGUUGGUGAGGUAAAGGCUCACCAAGGCGACGAUCUCUAGCUGUUCUGAGAGGAAGAUCAGCCACACUGGAACUGAGACACGGUCCAGACUCCUACGGGAGGCAGCAGUGGGGAAUAUUGCACAAUGGGGGAAACCCUGAUGCAGCCAUGCCGCGUGUGUGAAGAAGGCCUUCGGGUUGUAAAGCACUUUCAGUUGUGAGGAAAGGGUAAUGGUUAAUACGCAUUAUCUGUGACGUUAGCAACAGAAUAAGCACCGGCUAACUCCGUGCCAGCAGCCGCGGUAAUACGGAGGGUGCGAGCGUUAAUCGGAAUUACUGGGCGUAAAGCGCACGCAGGCGGUUUGUUAAGCUAGAUGUGAAAGCCCCGGGCUCAACCUGGGAUGGUCAUUUAGAACUGGCAGACUAGAGUUUUGGAGAGGGGAGUGGAAUUCCAGGUGUAGCGGUGAAAUGCGUAGAUAUCUGGAGGAACAUCAGUGGCGAAGGCGACUCUCUGGCCAAAGACUGACGCUCAUGUGCGAAAGUGUGGGUAGCGAACAGGAUUAGAUACCCUGGUAGUCCACACCGUAAACGCUGUCUACUAGCUGUGUGUGUAUUUAAUACGUGCGUAGCGAAGCUAACGCGCUAAGUAGACCGCCUGGGGAGUACGGCCGCAAGGUUAAAACUCAAAUGAAUUGACGGGGGCCCGCACAAGCGGUGGAGCAUGUGGUUUAAUUCGAUGCAACGCGAAGAACCUUACCUACCCUUGACAUACAGAGAACUUUCCAGAGAUGGAUUGGUGCCUUCGGGAACUCUGAUACAGGUGCUGCAUGGCUGUCGUCAGCUCGUGUCGUGAGAUGUUGGGUUAAGUCCCGUAACGAGCGCAACCCUUAUCCUUAGUUGCUACCAUUUAGUUGGGCACUCUAAGGAGACUGCCGGUGAUAAACCGGAGGAAGGUGGGGACGACGUCAAGUCAUCAUGGCCCUUACGGGAUGGGCUACACACGUGCUACAAUGGCAGGUACAGAGGGCAGCAAUACCGCGAGGUUGAGCGAAUCCCACAAAGCUUGUCGUAGUCCGGAUUGGAGUCUGCAACUCGACUCCAUGAAGUCGGAAUCGCUAGUAAUCGUAGAUCAGAAUGCUACGGUGAAUACGUUCCCGGGCCUUGUACACACCGCCCGUCACACCAUGGGAGUGGGAUGCAAAAGAAGUGGCUAGUCUAACCUUCGGGAGGACGGUCACCACUUUGUGUUUCAUGACUGGGGUGAAGUCGUAACAAGGUAGCCC
rnacentral:rRNA from 1 species